rnacentral:lncRNA from 1 species
ACCCACAGGCCUGGCUGAGCUCAUUACAGCAGAGAGCCAGCAACGCUUCCUCCUCUUAGAUUCCGUCAUGUUAGACAAUCUGCCUGCUCUCCCCACUAACCGUCAAAGUUCCAUGGAAUGAACUUGCCACUUUUUCAGGAUCCUAACCACCGCACUUUCCUGCUACCUCUGGCACUUGGAAUUUCAGAGACAAAACCCCUUUUUUAGGCAGCGAGCCCUGAUUUUCAGUUCCAAAGCUAUGGGCACUGCUGAGUGGGACCAGAGGAGUGGUGUGCAGUGAGCUACCUGGAGGGGUUGCAUGAGACCAUGUCCCCUCUCCUGGAUGGAGGUGUCUUCUGGUUGCCAAGAAAGUAUUGAGUGAUAAUCAGAAAAAUUCCUUGAUUUUCAUGGUUUGUUGCUUUGUAGCAGGUCUUAAGGAAAAAAAAAAAGUUUUUCAUGGUUUGGGACAGGUCCUUAGAGAUGGGCCACACCAGCCCUGGCACACCUGAGCCCAGUGUUGGGCCACCUCACACCUCUCUCGCCUCUCUUCCAGCUUUAUCUUUGUCCUGCUCUUUCUGGAGUCCUUUCCUUGCAUCCUGCCAGCUGGCAUCCCCUUCAUCCUUGCACGCCUACCUUCUACACAAAGCCUUCCAUGACCAUCCCAAGCCUCAGGGCUGAUUCCGUGCAGUGGGCAGGCUGUAGCCUCUCUGUUCACCUCUCUGUGUCA